AUACUUUCCAUGUUUUCGAUGCAUUAAAAGAUUAUGUUAAGCUAUGAAUGCCAUGUCUUUUAAAAUUACGCAAGUGCUAUUAUGUUAUGUAUUGAAAACCAUGGAUGCUUGAUUUUCAUGAACGAUGAAGUAUGUUCAAAGUAUGUAUGCAUAGUGACACUCGGGGUCCUCUCUGGAGGGACCUUAAUCAAGCCAGAUAGUCAUACGGUAGAUGUGUGAUGUGAAAUAAAAUCAUCUACAAUCGAGAUAUCUCAGGCCUAAAGAGCCCCAGCGUAACCUAUAUGGUUACUACAUAUGCCGAGUCGUUACAUUUUUCCAGCUAUGUUUGAUUAUGAAAGCAAAUCAUGUUAUCCUAUGUGAGCUUCAAGUUUAUGAGAGUUAAUUUUUAGAAAGAGAUUAUGUUGCGCUCACAUGUUUUAUGUUAAAAAUGAUAUGUAUGCUGCACAAUGAUCCAUGGUAUUUUACGUUCAUG
rnacentral:lncRNA from 1 species